UGAAGGUGUGUAGCCAAGUGGUCGGUCCAAGUCGCCUCACUUGUCUCGCUCCCGCCUCGCUGACAGCACUGCUCCGCGCGCUAAUCUGCCUGCGACCUCGGGUGUUCGUGAAGGAAGGGAGUGUUGACCUUCAGAAAAUAUAUAUAUA